ACACUGUAGGAUCGAAAGAUUGAUAUAUAAACACCACAAUUGCCAUUGUGUCCUUGACUAAGACAAUUAACUUCUGCGGAACUGUCCAUGUAAAAAGCAUAACACAAGUUGCUUUGGAUGAAAGUGUGUCAGCUGAAUUCCUCAGUAGUCAUAAUAAUCAGGAAGGGAAGACAACUGUAGUACAGUCAGAAGGGUUGGUGGGAGGGACUGGGAACAGUAAGUGAAAGAAGACGGCUGUCUAAUAAACCGAAACCAAAAAAAAAAAAAUAGUAUUCAAAGGGAUGGUUUACCCAAAUUUAAAAACUCUGUCUUCAUUUACUUCCAACCUUGUAUGACUGUCUUUCUUCCAUGCAACACAGAAGAUGAUGUUAGACAGAAUGACAAUGGUUACCAUUCACAUUCAUUUGCAUUGGAAAAGAUGAAAUGAAAGUGAAUGGUGACUGAGACCGUCAUUCUGCCUAACCUCCCCUUAUGUGCUGUACGGAAAAAAGGCAUGUGGUGAAAUGUGUAGAAAGAUACGUGUCUCUUUGGUCACAUGCGCGCUCGGGAAUAAUGGCUGCACAGGAACCCUCACCACCAUCUUCAUUAGAAGGCAACAAACCUGGCUUCCCCAAGAAAAUACUCGCCAACAAGCUGGAGGACAAGCAUCUGUGUAAUAUAUGUCUGAAAAUCCUUAGGAGACCGUUUCAGGCGCAGUGCGGACAUCGUUUCUGUUCAUAUUGUUUUACUAAAGCAGUGAGCUCCGGUCCACAGAAAUGCAGUGCUUGUAUAAAAGAAGACAUAUUUGAAGAACCAACAUCAAUUUUAAAACAGGGCUGUGCUUUUCCUGAUAAUGCUGCCAAGAGAGAAGUUGAAGCGCUUGAAGCUGUCUGCAUCAAUGAGGAAUGUAGCUGGACAGGCACCAUCAAAGAAUAUGAGGCAAACCAUGAAGGAAAGUGCGACUACCGGAUCCUUCCCUGCCCAUCAUGCAAAGAGCUUCUGAGAGCCAAUGAAGUUGAACGUCACAAUGAGAGAGAGUGCCCAGAAAGAACUCUUAAUUGUAAAUAUUGCAAGGAGCCUUUUCAUUUUAAAAACAUUAAGGCCCAUGAUGAGAUAUGCCCUAAAUACCCCAUGAUUUGUGAAGGUUGUGCCAAGAAAAAAAUUCCAAGAGAGAAAUAUGUGGACCACAUUAAACUGUGCACCAAAUUCAGAACACCUUGCAGAUUUCAUGUUGUAGGCUGUGAUAUGACGGUGGAAAAGGAGAAGAUCCACGACCAUGAGCAAGCCUGUUCCUAUGAGCACUUAAACCUUCUGCUGCAUUUCAUCAUGGGCAUCAAGGUGAACUUGGAGAGUCUGCAGCCUCAGAAUUUGGAGCUGGCCAGCCAUAAGAUCCAUGAGCUGCAUCAGUCUCUACGGGAGCUAGAGCUGAAGAUGGGCCAGCUGAGUGGAGCAGGGGCUCCCGUGCAGGGGGCCUGCGCACCGCUGCCUCCACCACCGGCUCCAACGCUGGGUACGUCUUUCACCCCCCUCCCUACUGCUGUUGGGGCAGCGUUGGAGCUGCAGCUACACAGCGAGAAGACCAAAGUGGUGGAGCUUAGCCGCCGCUGUCAGGAGCUGGAGCUGAAGGUAAGCACCUUUGAGAACAUCGUCUGUGUGCUUAACCGUGAGAUGGAGCGCUCCGCCACCACCAUGGAGGCCUAUAACCGCCAACACCGGCUUGACCAGGACAAGAUUGAGAUACUCAACAACAAGGUACGGCAGUUGGAAAGGACGGUGGGCCUUAGGGAUCUCUCCAUCGUGGAGAUGGAGGCAAAGAUGAGGGAGAUGUCUGCUGCCACAUACGAUGGUGUCUUUGUUUGGAAGAUCUCUGACUUCUCGAAGAAGAGACAGGAUGCUGUAGCCGGACGGGCACCUGCUAUGUUUUCACCUGCAUUUUACACAAGCAAAUAUGGCUAUAAGAUGUGUUUGCGCAUCUAUCUGAAUGGGGACGGGACGGGACGUGGUACUCACUUGUCUCUGUUCUUCGUGGUGAUGAGGGGACACAGUGAUGCCUUGCUCAAGUGGCCUUUCAAUCAGAAGGAAGUACGAGUCUGUUAUGGGGGUGUAAUAAAAGGGCUCCUCAGACUGAUGGCUUUCACAGAGUCCAGUGAAGAGCUCUUGAGUUCAGGGUUUCCCUGUUGGACUGAGAGCUACAGUAAGAGGUGAAGAGGGUGAUGUCUGAGCAAUGGCACUUUCAGGGGAAUCUCACACAUCCCGGGAGGCACAGCUGAAAGUGGUUUGUUUUAUCUGAUUAAAAAGUAUUCAGUUGAAAUUCCUCAUGGUGAUAUAAUCUAUGGAAAAGCUGCUUUUGUUGUUCAGUAAUCUACAAAACAUUGUAGGGGGAAAAUGGACUAGAUCUUUGUGUUAAUCUCCGGAAAUGUAUACAAAAGAAAGAUUUCAAGAUAGCCAGUCAUGAUGCCUAAUAGCAUAAAGUGGAUGAAAUAUGGGCUUUAUGAAUUUGAUUUCAACAUGUCAAAUGAAAGUACAAGCUGGAAGAUUGCCUAAGAGGGCUUUUUUGUACAAAUAAAGGUUGUUUAUUGGCAUUGGUGGUUCCAUGUAGAACCUUUAACAUUCAUGGAACCUUUCCAUUGCACAAAAGGUUCUUUAUAGAGGAAAAAGUAAUAAUGUUCUCGAAAAUAAUGGUUCUUUAAGGAACUGAUUACUUUAAAGUUAUUCGUGGAAGCCUUGUUAAACUCUUAAAUAUAUUCAGACCACUUUGUCACAAAUGUAAAUGAUGUCAGAAUUGUCAUUUUUGGGUGAACAAUCCAUUUCAACUGAUUUUUAUAGGGGCUCAAUGCAUUUUGCGUGCAUAUGCUAUAUUAUCCGCCCCACCCCCCUCCCCGCUUGUUCUGGCAGAGAAGGGCAAUGGCAGAGAUCUUCCCACUAGACAAUCUUCAGUUAGGCUUUUUGUCCAUGACUUUUCCCAUGGGCAAAUCUGGAGCUCUGUAUCACAGUUAACAGACCCUAAUCUGAGGAUUAACAAGGGGGUAUCCCUCUAUCACAGCUUCCUCUCUGUGUGUAGUCAGCAGAUAGAAAAUUAUGGUCCUAAAAGGAACAAAUCUGUCCAAUGCUUGAGGCUUGUCAGUAUGGCUGGGUAAAAACUGAUUAAUCGCAGUCACUUCAUUUGAACGAACCUGAUGUUGUUUCCUAAAAUCAUAAGAUCAGUGGUUGCAUGAUAAUGCAUUUGUACAGCGCUUUCUAUCCUGCAGUUGUGAUUGCAUUCUGUUAAUCUAAUUAACUUCAGUUCAUAGUUAGGGCCAUUUUGCUACUAGUUUUUUUUUUUUUUUUUUUUUUUUGCAUCUUCAGCACCAUGCUAAAAGAAUAUUUUCCCUUAGUUGUGAAUGUGAGUUUGCAGUCAUUAUUGAAUUUGAUGCAGUGAAAGACUGUGUACCACAACUACACAAAAUGUCGUUUUCUUGAAUACUGCACGACCAGUGUAGUCCAAUUCACAAAUUCAAACAUGAAUUUCUUUAAUUUGCACAAUAGGCUUAAAUGCUGAAAUGAAUACUUGUUGAAAUGGAAUCAAAUUGAAAUCCAAAUUUAAUUUAAUUUAAUCUGUAUUGAUACUCAGCCUACUUUUCACUGAUUAUAAGGUUGACCAUUGCAGCUCAAACUAAUGUCAGGCACAAGUAUCAGUUUUCUUUUCAGUAUCAUAAUGUUGUUUGAUUUUACCCUCAAAAUAUUGUUUCAAGUCAAAAAGCAGUGUUUUUGACCCAAUUAGCCCCAUUAGGAUGCAUUUUAAAUCCUUCAUUCUGGUUGCAUGUAAUCAUGCGAGUUAUAGUGUGUCUGUUCUUUUGUCAUAUUUAUUAUGUACAAGACAGGUGAACUGCAGUUUAAUCAUCUGCUGUAUUAGAGAGUCCUGUUACAUCAUCCGGGCAUAGAGGCUUCCUCUGAGUCUGUUUCCCCUGUAACACACUGAUUUCCCAUCAUCUCAGCAGCCCUAAAGACAUCUCCUGUGCUGGGGCUCAGGUUACCAUUUAGGGAUCUACAAAGAACACUUUGACCCACUUGAGAAAACAGAGUCAGACAUCCUCCUGGAGCCCAAAAACUGCUGAUUUAUCUUAGCAGAAACAGAUUAUACUUGCUGUACCACAGGCUCCUUUAAGUAUUGCACCUGAUGCCAAUGUCAACCAGCAAAUCUACUCGAAGGAACUGUCGUAAUGCUUAGAAAAAUAAAAGGCAGUAACUGCUUUUUUGGGUUGUCGUUUAUGCAGUGACUUUUAAAAAAAAUAUGAUUUUCAAAAAAAAAAGCAUGCCUGAUUGGAGAUAGUAAUAUGCUGUAUGACGAAUAUGUACAACUACUGAAAAACUUUGUUGGUUAAACUUUGUUGAUUAAAAUAAAGCUGAAAUAAAAUAUAGACGAAAAUUAGAAAUGUUGCCUUGACAACUAACUGAAAUAUGUUUAAGUUGAAGCACUAAAAUUACUAACUAACUGGAAAUAAAUAAAAUUUAAAAUUGAAAUGAAAAUAAAUAAAUAGUAAUCUGGUUAAAAAAAAAAAGAAAAAAAAAGAAAGAAAACUUGCAGAGUUUAGCUUCAACCCAAAUUAAACACACCUGAACCAACUAAUCAAGGUCUUCAGACUCACUAGAAACUUUUAUGUAAGUGUGUUGGAGCUAAACUCUUGGCCCUCCAGGAGCAGGAUUGGAUACCUCUUGAUAUAAAUAAUAUAGCUCAACAAAGGAACCAUUAGUUUAGAGUAUACUGAUUAGAGAUCGACCGAUACGGGUUUUUCUAUAACCGAUGCCGAUGGCCAAUAUGUGCUGCCGAUUUUUAGGGCCGAUAUCUUGAAGUUUUCCCCUUCAUUUGCAUGCUAAAAUGUCACACUAAUAAUAAGUGGAUGCACAACAUUUCUAAACUUAACAUCAUUUAUUGAACACUGACUUGAUUUACAUAAAAGUUUUAGAGCAUUCAACCAAGAAGGGGAGCCAAUGGAUAUCACACAAGAAGCAACGUGCAAACUUUGCGGAAAAGUUAUGCCGGUAAAAGCUUAACCUCGGUCAGUAUUCAAAGUGAAAGUAAAAGUGACGGAGCUGCCUGACGCUGCAUUAACGGAGCAUUUUCUCUCAGAGACGAAUUUCAACAUAAUAUGCUGAUAACGCAUCUUAAAACUGUUGGAGGCUGUCUUCAGGGAAAAGUCCUCUUCUAAACCCUAGGAGAUCUUUUCAUGUGGUGGACCUCCAGAUCGCAUGCAUUUUUCAUGGCUGACUUCACUUCCAUGGCUGCUUCCAGUCUGCGGCUCUACCUCAUAGUUCUUCAAAAGAUUUGGACAGUGAGAAGUAGACGGGGAAGCUGAGAGAGAGAGAAAGGAGGAACAGGUCGGGGAAACGGCACAGGAUGGACCCAAACCUAUGUUCCUAUGAGCACGUGCACCACCCACUGUGCCAUGGCUCCAACAGCUACAGAGGAAAUUGAAAGAGACAUGAAAAACACAACUCAAAAAGUGGGUCAUUUGGAAAUAAAAAGGAUGUCUGUUUUAAAGAAAUGAAAUAAAUUUCAAGAAUAUAAAUACAGAGCAAAGCACAGAAUAUAUGAUGAUGUUCCACCUUUCUCGAAAGCUCUCAGGAGGUAUAAGGAAGGAACAUGGGGACAUGGUCUAACAAGGCGAAUGGUAUGAUUGAAGACCACAAAUAUUUAAAAUCCACCUGAAACAGGUUUUAGUCUUUAAAAUCAGCGUAUCAUUUUAGAUAACAUUUUAGCAGUGUUGAGGAAGCUAUUUUGAAACAAACACUCAAAAUUAAACAAGACUCUCUUUUGAAGAAAUAUGUAGCUGCAGUAAUAAAGUAGCUAACUACUUAAAGGAUCAAUUUAUAUCUAUUUAUAUAUAAAUUAUGCAUUAAAUUGAUUAAAAGUGACAAAGACUUUUACAUAGUUUACAUCAAGUAUUCUAUUUCAUAUAAAUGCUUUUCUUUUGAACUGUCAACUCAUCGUAUAAUCCUGAAAAAAACAUUAUGGUUUCCACAAAAAUAUAAGCAGCACAACAUAGUUUUUCAACAUUGAUAAUAAUUAGAAAUGUUUCUUGAGUGCCAAAUCAGAAAAUAAAAUGAUUCCUGUGACAUUGAA